AGGACGAACGCUGGCGGCGUGCUUAACACAUGCAAGUCGAGCGGUAAGGCCUUUCGGGGUACACGAGCGGCGAACGGGUGAGUAACACGUGGGUGAUCUGCCCUGCACUUCGGGAUAAGCCUGGGAAACUGGGUCUAAUACCGGAUAUGACCUCCUAUCGCAUGGUGGGUGGUGGAAAGAUUUAUCGGUGCAGGAUGGGCCCGCGGCCUAUCAGCUUGUUGGUGGGGUAAUGGCCUACCAAGGCGACGACGGGUAGCCGACCUGAGAGGGUGACCGGCCA
rnacentral:rRNA from 1 species